CACGUUUUGCUGUUGACCUCCUCAGGGAUCUGAUGGUGACCUCUAGCCAGGUAAAACCCUUACAAACCUGAGUUUAAAAAAAGAGUGUGAGCAGUAUAGGGAACAGAGGUAAAAUAUUCACUCAAUGAAAGUCUGACUGCCCCAUGCAGUCUCCCAAUAGGUUCUCAGAUCUAAAGCAGAUGGAUAAAUAAACUUCCUUUAACAGGCAGAAACCUUGAGUAGAACCAGACUUGUGUUAGACAGUCAGAGGUGAGACUGAUAAAUGGGGGGAAACAAUAACAGAGGUGGGCCAUUCAGCUGUUCCUUCACAUUUUUUUUUAGAAAAUACAUCAUAGGAAAGGAAAGUGAUUAACUUGGUUUCAAAUAUCUACUCUCGUCCUAUAAUUUUACAUGUUUUGUGGCUCUUCAUUACACGAUACUGCCACCUUGUGGCUGACUGCAAUAUUACCUGGUCAUGGCUGAAUUGUUGUGAGUUCAUGCAGUUAUUUCAAUCAAGUUAUAAAGAUUUAUGUUAUCAAAACUUUUAGUUUUUAUAAAAGUGAAUUUUAACUAUUUUAUCCUUAUUGUCUUAAAGCUUUGAUUCAGGUGUUUUCCUCACUAUAAUUCAGUAUUAGAGCAUCCUUUGUCCCAUGACUGUAAACUCUCCUACUCUGAUACAUAAAAACAAACUAAAUAUGCGUCAUUAUUUUUGUUUAUAUGAGGAAAGACUGGUACUUUUAUGGAUAUAAUUUUAUGUGGCUGUCUUUUUUCUUUCACAUUUAAUGAAAUUUUGUAUUCCUCUCCUGCAAUGACACUACAUCGGUGACAGGCUUCAUCCUGAUGUGGAUUUGGAUGCUGCAGGUGAACACUGACUGCAUGACAAUGACUUCCAGGUCAUCUGAACAACAAGCAAGAGUGUGUGCAAGAGGAGGAAGGAGAUGGCAUAUAUGCUGUUGUACCAGAGGAGGGUGAGAAAAAAACUGUGACAGCUAAGAUCAAUCAGACCUUAAAAUAAACAUGGAUGAGCUUUCACUGAGUUAAUCACACCCAGAGCUCAACAAAAGGCUUUGUGUCUGUUUUAGGUGUAGGCCAUCCUGGCCAUGGGGUGACUAAAACCUCCAGGACUAAAUGAAAGACCGCACUAAGACCAAAAACCUGAAGUCCACUUGUCAGGCUCAUAAAGAAGAUUCGGUCCAGGUGGGUGUGUCAGGAGACCUCGCUGGUCAUCGUUUCCUUACCUUGGGUUCAUAAAGGUGAUGAAAAUGAAGUAAGUGGUUUAGGCCAGACCAUCAUCCAGUGGUCUGAUGUUCCUUAUGGUUUUUUAGACCUGUGGUCCUGGGAUGCUGUUUUUUCUUGAAACCUUUCACCUUCUAGUUCGGCUCUGAUUGGUUGAUCUCAUCACCUAUCUUAUGAAAGAACAAAUUAUUUCAUUAGGGGUAAAAAUGUCAUACUGGCUUUUUCUGAUGGUUUCAAGCAGGUGAUGUGUUUUGAAAAACUAAAAUGUGUAUUUUACUUUGAAUGUGCCUUUUUUUUACGGUUGUUCUGUAG